CCCCUCUGGGCUCCGGGUCCGUGGCUACUCACACAGAUUGGAUGGAGACUGGGAAGAUAAGGUGAUUCCAGACUGUGGAGGACCUUGAAUGUCAGGCCAAGAAAUCUAAACUUUACACGUUACUCCAGAAGCCCUGGUUCCCUGUAACAGUAAAGACCGAAGCAUCGGAUCCUCAUUCAGUGGCACUGAGGAGAGGAGGAGAGAGGGAAGAAGAGGAGGAGCAGCAGCAGGAAGAGCCACGUUGGGUAUGGCAAGUCAGCUGUUCGAGGAGCUGCUUUGGGAGGAUGGACGGAAUGGACCCCUGACAGAUGGCAUUGAACUGUCUUUCUUGGUGUGACCAGGUA